AUCGAGACGAGAGCUGUCAAUAUCAACUGUUUUAUAUCAGAGGGAGGGAUGUCUCUUAUCCAUUUGGUGCAUUGUGUACUCUUCUCAAACCUACCGCGCUGCUUUUUUUAGUGAUCCUUUGCUCAGAAUGAAAUAAAAUUGGCAGGUCGUAUUGCUAUCAAAUGGAUGAACGCGCCCAUUCACGAUGGUUCUCAUUGGUGACAACCUGUUGCUGCAAUGGCGUAAUCAAAAUUUUGUGGAUAUAAUUUGUAAUCUAUAUCUGUGUCUAGUAUUUAAUAGAUAUGUAUUCUGAUAAAAUUUUCUUUUCUAAUGA